AUAAUUUAUUUUAUUUUUUUUAGAAAAAUAAUUUUAUGUUUAAGUAAUUUUUAUUGAAUUAAUUUAUUUUAUUAUAGUAUAUUAGUAUAGUGAUAGAAUAUUAUUUAUUUUUGAACAAGAAGUUUUUUUUUAAUGUACCUUUUGUAUCAGGGUUUAUCAAGUUAUGAUUAUUUAUUUUAAUUAUCUCGAAUUAUAAAGAGUUAAUAAAAUAUUUAUUUUAUUGUUAAAUAAAUAUUUAAAAUAUUUUAUUUGUAGUGAAAUGUUAUUCGUUUUAUAAUAUAUCUAGUUUUUAAAGAAAUAAGUUUAAUUUAUAAAUUAAUUAGUUUAUAUAUAAGUUUAUAUAAAGGUAGUUAUUUAUUAAGAAUUUAAGGGAUAAGCUUUAAGUUUAAUUAUUAAAAAUAAUUUGAUUAUUAAUUUAAAUAGGAUUAUAAGUUUUUAAUUUUAAAAGUAUGUUAUAAUAAUAGGUUUUUUUUUUAAUAAUUUUAAUUUAUUUUAAUUUUUUUAUUUAAAUAAUGUAUUUAAUUUUUAAGUAGAUGUAAUAAUGAUAUAAUUAGUAUAAAUUAAUGUAAGUUUAUUAUUAUAUGGUAGGUAUUGGAAAGGAAUUAGGCAAUAAUAUUUUCGCCUGUUUAAUAAAAACAUGUCGUUAAGAUUAUAAUUUAAGGUUUAAUCUGCUCACUGAUUUUUUUAAGAGCCGCAGUAAUUUGACUGUGCGAAGGUAGCAUAAUAAUUAGUUUCUUAAUUAGAAGCUGGAAUGAAUGAUUGGACGAGAAAUAAUCUGUCUUUUGUAUAUUUAGUUAGAAUUUUAUAUUUAAAUUAAAAAGUUUAAAUUUUAUUAAAAGACGAGAAGACCCUAUAGAGUUUUAUAUUUAUAUUAUGGUUUUUUAUUUAGUUUAAGGUAUUUACUAUAAGAUUAAUAUUUUAUUGGGGUGAUAGAAAAAUUUAUUUAACUUUUUUGGUUAUUAUAACAAUAAUUAUUGAAUUUAUGAUCCUUAGUUUAGAUUAUAGAUUAAAUUACCUUAGGGAUAACAGCGUAAUUUUUUUGGAUAGUUCUUAUUGAUAAAAAAGAUUGCGACCUCGAUGUUGGAUUAAGAUAAAUUUCUAAAGCAUAAAUUAGGAUAAUUUAGUCUGUUCGACUAUUAAAAUCUUACAUGAUCUGAGUUUAAACCGGUGUAAGCCAGGUUGGUUUCUAUCUUUAAUUAAAUAUAAUAUUUUAGUACGAAAGGACCAAGUAUU
rnacentral:rRNA from 1 species